GUGGUGGAGCUGAGAGCUCUGUGAAACACAGCCCUUGCCAGGUCACGUACUGAUGGGGCUCUGCCUGCCCUUCACCAUCUGUGUGAAUCUCACAGUUAUUGCACCCAGGCUUCUCUCCAUUUCAAGAGGGGUACAUUUGGCACUGUUCAACCAUCCUACCUGGUUACACGAGCAUCAGGUUUAUAAUGCUUCUGGUCUGCUUUGGCUCAUUUGAGUGCUAAUGCUCGGUGGAAGGAUUUAUCAGGAAAAUGCCGUACCAAAGCUGGGCUGGAGACCUCUGUGUGCCACUGGAAAACAGAUGGCAAAUAACACCUUAAGACGUGAACCUGCAUCCACUGGCUUGUGGUUGUGAUCCAGCACCUGGUGGGACAGAGGUGUCUUAGGUGAGCUCUCUCCAUCCCAGCCCUGCUGGGAGACUGACUGCUGAACCACCUCAAUGUAUCUGCUGUACAUUUUCUGUUAAAAAAUACCAGCUUCUUAAGUGUUUCCUGAAGUUGGGCCCCUGUGGUAAUGUAACUUCUUCAGCAUAUUAUGUUCCUCCAGACAAUCAUACCCCUUUGCUUGAGGAGUCAGAGGAACAAUUAGAUUUUGGCCUCAGAGAGAAAUCCUCUAACUUGAACAAGUGGGAAUUUGAAAGGACCUCAUGAGGCCUGGAUUCACAGAGCCAGCCAGUGAAGUGGGAACUCCUAGAAGAGCCUGGAAAUCCUGGCCUGCCUGUGGGAAAUGGGAUGGGAUGGAGAUUUUAUGUGUUACAGACCUCCAGAGUGUGCAGCACUGUGCUGACAGGAGGUCCCACCAAGUGUGCAAGAAAACCGCAGUGCUCAAGGAGAGAAUUAACUUGUAGCUAUCAGACAGCUCGUGUCCUGAAGCGGAAAUUACAGCCAUUUAUGUGAUUUCAGGCUAAUUUCUGCCAGUACUUGUUCUGCUAAGUACUGCUACUACCCUGAGCAGCUCCGAGGAAGGCUUCUUUAAUCAGUGCUAAUGUAAGGUGUAGUACAGCUUCAGUGGGUGUGCCACGUGUAAAUCAGGUCCUGAAAUGUGUGAAGAACUGCUUUAGGAACCAAACCACUCAUCUGCGACGUGAAGAGCAACACGUGAAGAGCAACCCAAUGUGUGCACCUCAGAAUCAGGCCCCUCAGUGAGCCCCAGGACCAGCUCUGCUGUGGCACAGCCUGCGCCUCUGUGACCCACCUGUAGCCGGUCCACCACCAUCCCUGCAGAAACCUGCAGUGAAUUCCUUGCAGAGCUGCCAAGGAGGGGCUGGGAAAUUAGCAUCAAGGUAUUUUCUGACUGUUUGCUUGAAAAGAUGCUGUGUCUCUGAUUAUUAGUUUGAAAUUCACUGGUAGCAGCUGUAACCAGUGUACUUUGCACGGUGAAACCCUGCAGUCUGUCACCACGAUCACAUCUCUCCACCUUCACUUGCAAGUAAAGCACUAGAUCAGGGGUGUGCAGAGGGAACUGGAGUGAGCAUGGCAUCUACGGGGCUGCUGGUAGCAGGUAGGAGCGAGCAGGCCUUGAAGGAACCCGGUGCUGCCCCGGCAGCACCUCUGUGCAGCACCUGUGUGCUCCCCCAUCUGGGCAGGGGCUGAAGGACAAAGUCUGGGAAACACCAAGCAUGCAGAUGAAGUAUAAACAUGGAGAUAAACACUUAGUUGUAAUCAGGAUGUAAAUACCCAAGCCAAUAAACUGCAACUCGUGCAAUUAAUUUUACUCUCUGAGGCAGUCUCCAUCACUUGUCAGGACUUGCGUGAUAUGGCUGAGCUUUUGCAUAGCUGCUUGCAGGACAGAGCCUUCGUUUCUGAACUGCCUGUGUUUUGCAUGUGGCAGAUGGUGGAGGCUCGUGAAGCGUAAUUGUGGAGCAUUGAUGCUCUAGCUCUCCUGCAGGGAGCAUCGUAUCCUGAUGGGCAACUCAGGAACACCAGGAUCCUACAGGAAAGAGGCUUCUUUUGAAGAUCUCCAUCGUAUGAUUUAUGAUAUAUAAUGCUUGCAUUUCUGUACAGUGUGAUUCCACUCUAGAGGUUUGCUGUUGUUGGUGCUCAAAUUUGUUUUUGUUUAGUACGUCACAAGACUUGGAGAAAUGCUGUUUUGGCAAAAUAUGUUGAAGACUAUGUAAACACUACACAAGCUUUCUAUGUACUCCAUGUGUCUUCUUCAGUAUAUUUAAAUGAUCCAGCCAUGCAGUUACAGCACACCUAUUAAUACAAGUUAAUACAAAGGCAUAAUUAUUUUAUGGGAGCACUUAAGUUAUAUUUUUAUAAAGAGAACAAGAGGAUCCCCUGAGACACUGUUGUACAAAUAAUGAAGGACAGAAGCUCAAUUAGUGAAUGAACAGAAAGGAAAAGUGAGGCAUGAAUAAUGUAAAAUAGAGCAUAACUCAGCAGGCAUAUUAGUUUGUAUAAUAUACUGCUUCUUAUACAUUAAAAGGCUGCAUUGAGGAAUGAAGUACCUGCUUUUCCUAUGGCAGUUUUCUAAACUGGCAUUGUCAGAAUAUUUUCUUUUGCAGUUUUCUGACUUGAGACAAGAAAAGUCGAUUCCUUAAUUCUAAAUUGAUGGAGGUGUCACUUUGAUACUUCCAUUUACUUUUUUCAUUAUAGAAAGAGCAGAAAUUGUCCAGAAUUAUUUCUUCAUUUCACGUUCCCCUGAGACUCCAACAACAACAAGAAAUGAUAUUUUUUGUCCAUAUAAUUUUAGAUUAUUAUUUUUCAGGUGGCAAUAUAUAGAAGCAUGAGCCUCAGUGGUUGACCAGAAAGUAAAGAAACCAAGAACUGAGCCUACAGAAAUAAACCUAAUCCCUAUCCUUUUUUCCUUAGAAGCCAACAGCGUGUUUCCAACAAGGUGAGAGUGGAUAACAAAAUGCUGCACUAUGGCCCGUGCCUGCAGAGCCCUUUGGUAUUGUGACUUCUGAAGCCCUUUAUGCCUUUGCUAGAACAAAGCUGUGGUUUCCUUUCUGAUCUCCUGAGAGAGCCUAAGGGCUAGCAGGGCUGUUUGCAACGUGUGCAAUACAGGCUUUGCACUGAGUUCAGAGACUUGAGAGACUGAUUUCAUACAGCUUCACGGGCUUUAAUCCUGCUGUCGUGGUAGUUCUCUCUCGGGGACUGCCGAGUGUCCGUACUGGCCAGUGGUCCCACUGGGAAAGUGCAUCUGUGCAGAGUUCAGUGAAUAACCCCCGGGAAAUGGUGCCCAAGAAGAAAGGAAAUUAUCAUCACGUGUGUCAUUCCCAUCAAAAGUGCUUCUCACUUAGCUGGUUCAAAGUGAUUGUUGCUGGUAACCUUCUUCUGUCAAUCACUGUUCCCAUGUAUGUCUUUAGGGCUUAGUGAUGAAACUACUUUGAAGCAAGUGCGAAAAUAUAUAUUUUGCAAAUUAAAUGACUAUUCUCCAGCUAAAACAGAAAACUGAGGAAGAGGCUGACUUGGGCAGAAGCAGGGUUUGUAAAGGAGCUUUUCCAGGAUGGGUUUGGAGGGGUCAGCACCAGAUCAUGGCUGGGGGAAAGGUGUGGGGCAAUGGGAUUCAGCUAAAUUCAGUAGAGUUUGGCUAUAACCUCAGCCAUGGGAAGAGAAAAGAUAUCUUCAGAGCAAAGGUUGUCUUUUUAAAGCAUGUUGGAACAACACGAGUCUGACCUCCUCUGAAAGAGCCGUUUGCUUCUCAGUUACUUUUAUGUUCUUACAAGGAACUGGAGAUUAUGGAAUUCUUUUCACCCCUUAAGUCAUUAUUGUUUUGCUAAAUAUGUCAGAGCUUGAGUUGCCUUUUUUCUUUUCUUUUCUUUUCUUUUCCUUUUUUUUUUUUUUUUUUUUCUUUUCCCUCUCACCAAAAAUUGACAUUGCCCCUGCUGCAGAGAUGCUUCAAGUCAGGGUUUGGAAUAGGCUUAUUUUGCCUAGGGUUGGUAAACAAUUCUAGCAUUUUUAUCAGUAUUUUGCCAACGUUGCUGUUGGGUUUGCAGGCACAAAAACACAGCCCUGUUCUCUUUUUGAACAAUAACUAUGCUGGCUCCCUGUGCGGGCAAACCCAGAAAGCAGUCUUGAAACUUCCUUUCAAAACAUUAUAUACUGCCUGUCUGAAGUCAGCACGCAGAAGGAAAGCAACAGAAGUAGCCUUGUUUCGUUUAAUAGUGUGAGAGCCUCACAAUGUUUUUCAGUUUAUAUUAUUCUAGAGAUAAGAAUCUUUAAAUACUGAAGAAGCAUACAGUGUACAAGCAUUGUAUUGACAUUUUUCUAUGCUAUCAUAACCAUGGAUUCAUCUGCUUGUCCUUAUGUUAGCAAUUUAAUUUUAAUCCAGGGCAAUAAUGAAAAAUUGCAUUACUGGGGAAAAACAAACUCUCCAUAGCCUGCACUACUGAUAUUUUUAGGGAAGCAAAUUGCAUUUUCUGUUGAAAAUAACAGACUAUCUUUAGGUCUUCUGUGAACAUCUAUGAGCAAGAAAAAUAGGUUUGCUAAUGUAUUAUCAGCCAGAGGAAAAUAGAUGGUUUGUAGCUCUUGUGUCUCAGGGUGGAUCUAGACUGGUCUGCGCCCUUGGCACCCUUCCCUUGCAAUUUGCCACGAGGAAAGCUGCUCGAGGUCCUCGAGCGUGCAGGGCAGCCUGCAUGUCUGCGGAGCAGGGUGUAGUGUAGGAAGGGAAAGAGCAUCUGGGAGAAGUGGCUGGGAAAUUUGUACCAAGCAGUGCUCCAUGUCCCCGCAGGAGACCUGGCUUCUCCUGGGUGUCUGGUGCGGAGGCCCUGGAGCAGUGGGUCCUCCCUGGCCCCACAGCCCUCUGAGGAGUGGGGACACAAUCUGGAGGCUCUUCAGGCAUGGUAGUCACUGUCAUAAUGCAACUGGAGCCACAGACAUGUUGAAAAUUGGGAACAAUCCAAAAUCUAAAGAUACUCAGAUCGGAGAGCAGAUCUGAGUAAGUGCUCAAGAGUGUUUGAAGAGCAGAAUAAUUUGGAUUCCAUUUUUUAUAAUUUCAUCUCUCUACAUAUACACUACUCAAAAACCCUACAAAAUGGAAUGUGGAAUCAGAUUUCUUUCCCCUGGUUUAUUUUUUUUUCUAAACUCUUGAAAAGAAUCUUCUAUUACAAUUUUGAGGUUUAUUUAAAAAAAUAAAAUCCUAGGGGAAAUGUGUACUCUUCUUUAUUAAACUACGUAGGACAUAUUCCUGAGAGUUGCUCACACUCCUCCCACACACACCUUCCCACAUGUGAGAUAAAUUAAGAAUGUCACUAUCUUUAAUGCCAGAAGUAUUUUCAUCUUCCACUGCAAAUAUGCAGUGAUGCAUCUAGAAUAGUACUGUCGGGGGAAGAAAUCUUCACAUGAGCAGAAUGUAGCUGUUAGUGUUCCCUUUCUACAUACACUUAGUGUUUUAUCCACAGGGGAUAUUUCUUGUCAGUAGGAUCGUGUUGGUUGCAGGUAAACAGAGGUGGAAAGCUCUUGUUUCGUUGUAUCAAAAACAUUUUGAGUCCUGGCUGGUGAUCAGUCCCUGGCCACCCUUGUGUGGUGCGGAGUGUUGCAGAGCUGCAUCAGGUGCUGAGCGAGGGGCAUUGUGCUUGCUAUAGGUGGCAGGUGCUGGGAAUCCAUCCGGUAUGAGAGCAUUGCCUUCACCUCCCGGCUCCGUGCCAAGCUGCUGGUGCAGCGGGGCAGCAGAAGGCGGCGGAGACUUGGGAGCUAAUCUAGUGUCUGCGCUCCUGCCUCCGUGACUAAUUGCUUGGAAAUCUGCACGUGUAAUAGCUCGCACUUUUCUUAAUACCACUCACUAGGCUAGCAUUUAAAAAGGAUGUAUUUUCUUGUCAUUAAAAGUGCUAGAUGCAAAUGGAGAAGCAGAUAGCUAUACCCUGCUUAAUAAUUAAAAUAGUGCCACAAAAUUCGGAGUCAGGCUCCAGAGAGUGACUGAUCCCAUGUCCAAGGCACAGCACAGGAGCCAGAAAUGCACCCACUGCACUGCUCCUCUGUGGGAACGUACAAAUUAGAAAUUUCAAGGGCUGUUGAACACUGUGAAUUUCCACCGUGGAUCAGCACAAAGUUAUUUGGCACAGGAGAUUCUGUAACUGUGAUACAUUGGGGAAGUUCAUAUUGUGCAAUGGCCCUAAAACUCACCCUUCCUCCUCUGGUAUGCAGAGACCUGGUGCUAAGACGUAUUUAAUAUAAAGCAGGUAGGAUACUCGCUGACUGGAGCAGUUUUUUUUGUCUCUUGUUGCCUUUUCAUUAUUCAUCUUAGGAUCAUCUCCUUUGCUAUUUAUAUUCAGCAUAAAUAAUAAUUAUACCAGAGGACAGAGGUGUGAUGGUGUGAAUGUGAAGAAAAACUUCAUGUCCCUGAUGAGAACACAGCCACAAAGCUAGCUGGGACCUGUGAGGCGCCUUUAGUCUGGGAAACGUGGUCCAUGGCAAAUGCUUGUUGGAGAGCAGGAAGGCAUUAACAUGCGAGUGUUACUCCUAAGUGGCCAGAAUACGGUGAUUAAAGCGCUCUUGCUGUGUGAUCUUGGGCCUCUUGCCCUUUCUAUUCCUUAAUUAAUUUCCUCUUUCAUUUAUGUAUUAAUAAAAACAAAUCACCUGCUUCAUGGGAGGUGAGAGGUUUUAUUCAUUUAUGUUUGCAAACAGCUUUGAGAUCUGAGGAAGGGAGGAAGAGGCUACAGAAGUCUGAAGCGUGUAUGUAGUGCAUGAAUGAUAUAUGACAAGGUUUUAUUCCUUGUCAGUCUGAUAAUUUGGCAUACUUGUAAAGCUUUUUCCUUUUCUGCUAAGUUUCUUCUUCUGACUCUGUCAAAUAAAGCACAACCUUUGCCU